AACGUAGGUGGCAAGCGUUAUCCGGAUUCACUGGGCGUAAAGCGAGUGCAGGUGGUUGUGUAAGUUGGAUGUGAAAUUUCCCAGCCUAACUGGGAAGGGUCAUUCAAUACUGCGCGACUUGAGGGCAGAAGAGGGGGGUGGAAUUGCCGGUGUAGUGGUGAAAUGCGUAGAUAUCGGCAGGAACACCUGUGGCGAAAGCGGCCCCCUGGUCUGAUCCUGACACUCAGACUCGAAAGCUAGGGUAGCGAACGGGAUUAGAAACCCCGGUAGUCCUAGCCGUAAACGAUGGAUGCUAGGUGUGGGUGGUAUUGACCCCAUCCGUGCCGAAGCUAACGCGUUAAGCAUCCCGCCUGGGGACUACGGCCGCAAGGUUAAA
rnacentral:rRNA from 1 species